GGAGGGGCCACCUCGGAGACCUUCAAAUAUUUUGAUGGUCACUGCCAUGCGAGAACAUAGGCUGGGACUGCGGGCUCCCCAAUUUCACCCCAGCUGAGCGAGACUAACAGUGGGACCGGCAAGACGGCUUCUCAGCCCUUUGUGAGCGCCGGAGUCAAUAUCCAGUCUGUGGCAGUCCAGGACCACCAGAGCCAACUCAGCAGACGGUGUCCCAAACCUGCUCUCUUCCCUCCCUCCCCGAACAGAGCACACUGUCGAGCAUCUAGUAUCUUCAAGACGUUUAGAGAGAUUAGGCUCUGUGGCCUGGCCCCCCACCACCACCGGGAACAUCAUUCCUGUGAGAAAACGCUCAGCGAGUUCCCAGCUGCUGACUCCCCUGGGGACACCAGCACACGGAGAGGCGCCGGAUCGGACACCUGCUGGUGAGAACAGGCCUGCAGGCACUCUGGGGCCCAGGCAAGGGCGGUGAGAGGAACGAGCAGGCUGGGCUGACAGGUGCAGGGUGGUCGGCAUGGCUGACUUAGAAAUGCAUAAAACAUUAAUAAUAAAGCCCCAAGAGUGACGACGCCAGAGGCCAUUCCAUCCUGUGAUUCAUUCAACACAUACUGAUGAGCACCUACUAUGUGCUCGGACGCCUGAGGAGGCCAAGGUGAAUAAGAGACGCCACAGACCCGCAGGAAAGACCGACGACUAGAAGGACAACUGGGUCACUGCACCCACCCUGUGCUGCUGGGGCACAGGGACCUGUUGGUGACCUGGGACCCCAGGGGAGGAAGACACUGCACCUGGCCCUGGGGUACUGGGGACGGUCUGCUGGAGGGGCUGAGUGGGGAGGAAUGGGAGGGCCUCCUGUGACAGAAAAAGGUGGGCAAGGCCUUUCGGAAGAGAGCAGUGGCAUUUUUUUAAGACUUGCAGGUGAGAAAGAGGAGAGCUGGCCAAGGCCACAGCCCGGGUCUGUGGGAGACGGAGAAGGAGGGAGGGGGAAGGAGCUAGGUCCUGAGGAGCCUCGAGGGUCGGACCGCAGAGCACGGGUUUCACGCUGCAGAGUCCGGAGUGCAGACCGGUGGUUUGCGAACAUUUUGCUGUGUACCCCCUAAAAAAAUUAGAAAAGCUGUGUACCCCGUCCACAUUUUAAUGGCUGCAAAUGGUAUAAAUCCAGGAAGAUGGUAAGUCUUGCAAUAGAAAUAAUACAUUCAUCUUCUCUGUGUAUCCAGAGAAAUUGAAAUACUAUAGUGAUUUAUACUUAUUCCUAUCCAGUUAAAAUAUGUGAUUAAACUCUUCUUUCACAGUGAGAAAUUUAUGCUGGUAAUUCCUGUUCUUGAAUUUGUAUUUCAAUGAAAAGUCUACUUCCUGGCAUUUUCUUCAAUUAUUGAAUUUUAUUCCAAUGUAAUAUACUUUUUAUGAUUGAA